GAGCUGGUAGUCUAGUGGCCAUGAUACCGUCUUGACGAGGCGAAAGCCGUGGGUUCGAGUCCCGCCCGGCCCA
rnacentral:tRNA from 1 species